GAUGAACGCUGGCGGCGUGCCUAAUACAUGCAAGUCGAGCGAAGCGGGGACGGGUGAGUAAGCAGUGGCUACCCUCCUAUAAGACGGGGAUAACUUCGGGAAACCGGAGCUAAAACGGAUACGAAUAGAUGGAUCCGCGCUGCCUUAGCUAGUUGGUAAGGUAACGGCUUACCAAGGCCACGAUGCAUAGCCGACCUGAGAGGGUGAUCGGCCACACUGGAACUGAGACACGGUCCAGACUCCUACGGGAGGCAGCAGUAGGGAAUCUUCCGCAAUGGGCGAAAGCCUGAUGGAGCAACGCCGCGUGAGUGAUGAAGGUCUUCGGAUCGUAAAACUCUUUUAUUAGGGAAGCGGUACCUAAUCAGAAAGCCCCGGCUAACUCCGUGCCAGCAGCCGCGGUAAUUC
rnacentral:rRNA from 1 species